AUAACGACUCUCGGCAACGGAUAUCUCGGCUCUCGCAUCGAUGAAGAACGUAGCAAAAUGCGAUACUUGGUGUGAAUUGCAGAAUCCCGUGAACCAUCGAGUUUUUGAACGCAAGUUGCGCUCGAAGCCAAUAGGUUUAGGGCACGUCUGCCUGGGCGUCUCGC
rnacentral:rRNA from 1 species